rnacentral:lncRNA from 1 species
AAUGUUCGUGUUGUAGGGGAGGUUCUGCCGAAUUUUCGGUAGUUCCUGAGUCGAGAUUCUUAGACAGUCAGUCCUAGGAAUCUAGACCUAGAAUCUAUUGUAAUUGUUUCAUCGUUUUGAUAAAUUAUUUUCCGUGAUUAGAUGAUCUGUCUUUUCGGCUCGCUCCUACCGAGGCACCGGAGCAGAGCUAGGAGGUCGCCAAUUCUGUGAGUUAAAGUCAUU